rnacentral:rRNA from 1 species
ACGCUGGCGGCAGGCCUAACACAUGCAAGUCGAGCGGCAGCACAGGUACUUGUACCGGGUGGCGAGCGGCGGACGGGUGAGUAAUGCCUAGGAAUCUGCCUGGUAGUGGGGGAUAACGCUCGGAAACGGACGCUAAUACCGCAUACGUCCUACGGGAGAAAGCAGGGGACCUUCGGGCCUUGCGCUAUCAGAUGAGCCUAGGUCGGAUUAGCUGGUUGGUGGGGUAAUGGCUCACCAAGGCGACGAUCCGUAACUGGUCUGAGAGGAUGAUCAGUCACACUGGAACUGAGACACGGUCCAGACUCCUACGGGAGGCAGCAGUGGGGAAUAUUGGACAAUGGGCGCAAGCCUGAUCCAGCCAUGCCGCGUGUGUGAAGAAGGUCUUCGGAUUGUAAAGCACUUUAAGUUGGGAGGAAGGGCCGUUACCUAAUACGUGAUGGUUUUGACGUUACCGACAGAAUAAGCACCGGCUAACUCUGUGCCAGCAGCCGCGGUAAUACAGAGGGUGCAAGCGUUAAUCGGAAUUACUGGGCGUAAAGCGCGCGUAGGUGGUUUGUCAAGUUGAAUGUGAAAGCCCCGGGCUCAACCUGGGAACUGCAUGCAAAACUGGCAGGCUAGAGUAUGGUAGAGGGUGGUGGAAUUUCCUGUGUAGCGGUGAAAUGCGUAGAUAUAGGAAGGAACACCAGUGGCGAAGGCGACCACCUGGACUGAUACUGACACUGAGGUGCGAAAGCGUGGGGAGCAAACAG